AGCAGCUUCAACUUCCUUAGCUCCCAAAGCUAUCUUAAAGAAGGUACCUGCGUACAAUGAAAUUUUAAUCAGCAUGAAGAACAUCCAUAGGAAAAAUGGAAGGGAAAAUGAAGACCUCAAGUAAUACCAUGAGAUCUGACUCCUUGCAGUGCUUAUGAGUUAAGGAAAGAAGUUGUGCAAAGACCUGUUUAACUUAGGCUGAUGAGGAAUUGUGGUUGCCAGUGAUCCCUACAUUUGUGAUAUUGGUUUCAUGCCAAUUUUCAGUGUGUAGAGUUUCAGAAGCAAAGGGUUUUCAGAAGCCCAUGGAGAUUAAACCCAUCAUUCCACUACCCUACUCAUUAGAUUGCUGCUGUUCUGAGAUGCUGCAUACUCAAAUUACAACACUUAAUGCACAGCAAACAAUAGAACGAGGAAACCAUGCAACAUUGGACUAAACUUAAAUGAAUGGAAUAGCAACCCCACUUUUAAUGUGAUCUGCAAUAUAAGUUCCUUUUACUUUGGAAAAAUAUAUAUAAACACUACAAACCUUUAAAGGAAUUCUGU